GAUGAACGCUGACAGAAUGCUUAACACAUGCAAGUCAACUUGAACUUCGGUUUGGGUGGCGGACGGGUGAGUAACGCGUAAAGAACUUGCCUCACAGAUAGGGACAACAUUUGGAAACGAAUGCUAAUACCUGAUAUUAUGAUUUUAGGGCAUCCUAGGAUUAUGAAAGCUAUAUGCGCUGUGAGAGAGCUUUGCGUCCCAUUAGCUAGUUGGAGAGGUAACGGCUCACCAAGGCGAUGAUGGGUAGCCGGCCUGAGAGGGUGAUCGGCCACAAGGGGACUGAGACACGGCCCUUACUCCUACGGGAGGCAGCAGUGGGGAAUAUUGGACAAUGGACCAAGAGUCUGAUCCAGCAAUUCUGUGUGCACGAUGAAGUUUUUCGGAAUGUAAAGUGCUUUCAGUUGGGAAGAAAAAAAUGACGGACCAACAGAAGAAAGGGCGGUA
rnacentral:rRNA from 1 species